ensembl:lncRNA
UGCCCGCAAGGCUCUUCUUUGACAAUCUGGGAGCCAUCUUACUGUAUGCUGUGGUGGGGACUCUCUGGAAUGCCUUCUGCACAGGCUUCUGCCUCUACGGGGUCAAACUGCUGGGGGUCAUAGGUGAGUCAAGCUGCUGGGGGUCAUAGGUGGGUCAAGCUGCUGGGGAUCAGGGGUGAGUCAAGCUGCUGGGGGUCAGGGGUGAGUCAAGCUGCUGGGGAUCAGGGUGAGUCAAGCUGCUGGGGUUCAGGGGUGAGUCAAGCUGCUGGGGGUUCAGGGUGAGUCAAGCUGCUGGGGGUCAUAGGUGAGUCAAGCUGCUGGGGGUCAGGGGUGAGUCAAGCUGCUGGGGGUCAGAGGUGAGUCAAGCCGCUGGGGGGUCAGAGGUGAGUCAAGCUGUUGGGGGGUCAGAGAUGAGUCAAGCUGCUGGGGGUCAAAGGUGAGUAAAGCUGCUGGGGGGUCAGAUGUGAGUCAAGCUGCUGGGGGUCAGAGGUGAGUCAAGCCGCUGUGGGUCAGAGGUGAGUCAAGCCGCUGAGGUUCAGGCAGGUCAGAUGUGUCUCUGUUUAGACCAGAAGGUUCAGGCAGGUCUGAUGUGUCUCUGUUCAGACCAGAAGGUUCAGGCAGGUCUGAUGUCUCUCUGUGUUCAGACCAGAAGGUUCAGGCAGGUCUGAUG